AGAGUUUGAUCAUGGCUCAGAUUGAACGCUGGCGGCAGGCCUAACACAUGCAAGUCGAGCGGUAGCACAGAGAGCUUGCUCUCGGGUGACGAGCGGCGGACGGGUGAGUAAUGUCUGGGAAACUGCCUGAUGGAGGGGGAUAACUACUGGAAACGGUAGCUAAUACCGCAUAAUGUCGCAAGACCAAAGUGGGGGACCUUCGGGCCUCAUGCCAUCAGAUGUGCCCAGAUGGGAUUAGCUAGUAGGUGGGGUAACGGCUCACCUAGGCGACGAUCCCUAGCUGGUCUGAGAGGAUGACCAGCCACACUGGAACUGAGACACGGUCCAGACUCCUACGGGAGGCAGCAGUGGGGAAUAUUGCACAAUGGGCGCAAGCCUGAUGCAGCCAUGCCGCGUGUGUGAAGAAGGCCUUCGGGUUGUAAAGCACUUUCAGCGGGGAGGAAGGCGUUAAGGUUAAUAACCUUGGCGAUUGACGUUACCCGCAGAAGAAGCACCGGCUAACUCCGUGCCAGCAGCCGCGGUAAUACGGAGGGUGCAAGCGUUAAUCGGAAUUACUGGGCGUAAAGCGCACGCAGGCGGUCUGUCAAGUCGGAUGUGAAAUCCCCGGGCUCAACCUGGGAACUGCAUUCGAAACUGGCAGGCUAGAGUCUUGUAGAGGGGGGUAGAAUUCCAGGUGUAGCGGUGAAAUGCGUAGAGAUCUGGAGGAAUACCGGUGGCGAAGGCGGCCCCCUGGACAAAGACUGACGCUCAGGUGCGAAAGCGUGGGGAGCAAACAGGAUUAGAUACCCUGGUAGUCCACGCCGUAAACGAUGUCGAUUUGGAGGUUGUGCCCUUGAGGCGUGGCUUCCGGAGCUAACGCGUUAAAUCGACCGCCUGGGGAGUACGGCCGCAAGGUUAAAACUCAAAUGAAUUGACGGGGGCCCGCACAAGCGGUGGAGCAUGUGGUUUAAUUCGAUGCAACGCGAAGAACCUUACCUGGUCUUGACAUCCACAGAACUUUCCAGAGAUGGAUUGGUGCCUUCGGGAACUGUGAGACAGGUGCUGCAUGGCUGUCGUCAGCUCGUGUUGUGAAAUGUUGGGUUAAGUCCCGCAACGAGCGCAACCCUUAUCCUUUGUUGCCAGCGGUUAGGCCGGGAACUCAAAGGAGACUGCCAGUGAUAAACUGGAGGAAGGUGGGGAUGACGUCAAGUCAUCAUGGCCCUUACGACCAGGGCUACACACGUGCUACAAUGGCAUAUACAAAGAGAAGCGACCUCGCGAGAGCAAGCGGACCUCAUAAAGUAUGUCGUAGUCCGGAUUGGAGUCUGCAACUCGACUCCAUGAAGUCGGAAUCGCUAGUAAUCGUAGAUCAGAAUGCUACGGUGAAUACGUUCCCGGGCCUUGUACACACCGCCCGUCACACCAUGGGAGUGGGUUGCAAAAGAAGUAGGUAGCUUAACCUUCGGGAGGGCGCUUACCACUUUGUGAUUCAUGACUGGGGUGAAGUCGUAACAAGGUAACCGUAGGGGAACCUGCGGUUG
rnacentral:rRNA from 5 species